UACGUAGGGGGCAAGCGUUGUCCGGAAUUAUUGGGCGUAAAGAGCGCGUAGGCGGUCCGAUAAGUCGGCUGUGAAAGUCCAGGGCUCAACCCUGGAAAGCCGGCCGAUACUGUCGGACUAGAGUCCGGAAGAGGCGAGUGGAAUUCCCGGUGUAGCGGUGAAAUGCGCAGAUAUCAGGAGGAACACCGGUGGCGAAGGCGGUGGUCUGGGCCGGAACUGACGCUGAGGAGCGAAAGCGUGGGGAGCGAACAGG
rnacentral:rRNA from 1 species